CACCUGCCAGUUGGACAUGUACACCUUACAGUCCUUCCAUACACCGAAUAUACUAGCCCUAUUGCUUAUAGUAUCUGAGAUAUGGACUUGACCACCAAACUUAACCUUGUUCACUGAUCCAUGAAAUAAGGUCGAGGUCAAGUGAAAACUGUCUGACAGACACGAGGACCUUGCAAGGUACGCACAUAUCAAAUAUAGUUAUCCUAUUACUUAUAAUAAGAGAGAAUUCAACAUUACAAAAAAUAUGAACUUUUUUUUCAAGUGGUCACUGAACCAUGAAAAUGAGGUCAAGGACAUUGGACAUGUGACUGAC
rnacentral:lncRNA from 1 species